UUGGAGGGCAAGUCUGGUGCCAGCAGCCGCGGUAAUUCCAGCUCCAAUAGCGUAUAUUAAAGUUGUUGCAGUUAAAAAGCUCGUAGUUGAAUUUCGGGGUUAGUAAGUUGGUCAUGCCUUCGGUAUGUACUGGCUUUACUGAUUCCUCCUUCUUGACGAACCGUGAUGUCAUUAAUUUGGUGUUGCGGGAAAUCAGGACUGUUACUUUGAAAAAAUUAGAGUGUUUAAAGCAGGCUAACGCUUGAAUACAUUAGCAUGGAAUAAUGAAAUAGGACGUUAAUCCUAUUUUGUUGGUUUCUAGGAUCGACGUAAUGAUUAAUAGGGAUAGUUGGGGGCAUUAGUAUUCAAUUGUCAGAGGUGAAAUUCUUGGAUUUAUUGAAGACUAACUACUGCGAAAGCAUUCGCCAAGGAUGUUUUCAUUAAUCAAGAACGAAAGUUAGGGGAUCGAAGACGAUCAGAUACCGUCGUAGUCUUAACCAUAAACUAUGCCGACUAGGGAUCGGAUGAUGUUAAUUUUUUAAUGACUCAUUCGGCGCCUUACGGGAAAC
rnacentral:rRNA from 1 species